rnacentral:rRNA from 1 species
UACGUAGGGUGCGAGCGUUGUCCGGAAUUAUUGGGCGUAAAGGGCUCGUAGGCGGUCUGCCACGUCAGGAGUGAAAACUCGGGGCUCAACCCCGAGCCUGCUUCUGAUACGGGCAGACUGGAGGUAUGCAGGGGAGAACGGAAUUCCUGGUGUAGCGGUGAAAUGCGCAGAUAUCAGGAGGAACACCGGUGGCGAAGGCGGUUCUCUGGGCAUUACCUGACGCUGAGGAGCUAAAGUGUGGGGAGCGAACAGG